GAUGAACGUUGGCGGCGUGGAUUAGGCAUGCAAGUCGAGCGAGAACCCAGCAAUGGGGGACAGCGGCGAAAGGGACAGUAAUGUGUAGAUCAUCUGCCCUCAGGUCCGGGAUAGCUGCGGGAAACUGCAGGUAAUACCGGAUAACAUCUCCGGAUCAAAGGUGUGAUUCCGCCUGAGGAUGAGUCUACAUCCUAUUAGCUUGUUGGUGGGGUAAUGGCCUACCAAGGCGAUGAUGGGUAGCGGGUGUGAGAGCACGACCCGCGUCAUUGGGACUGAGACACUGCCCAGACACCUACGGGUGGCUGCAGUCGAGAAUCUUCGGCAAUGGGCGCAAGCCUGACCGAGCGACGCCGCGUGCGGGAUGAAGGCCUUCGGGUUGUAAACCGCUGUCAGAGGGGAUGAAAUGCAGGUGGGUUCUCCCAUCUGUUUGACAUAGCCUCAGAGGGAGGACGGGCUAAGUUCGUGCCAGCAGCCGCCGUAA
rnacentral:rRNA from 1 species